ensembl:miRNA
AGGCUAAUACUGUUGCUAAUAUGCAACUCUGUUGUAUAAAAAUUGGAAUUGCACUUUAGCAAUGGUGAUGGACUG